rnacentral:rRNA from 1 species
CUGCGGAGGGAUCAUUACACAAUAUGAAAGCGGGUUGGGACCUCACCUCGGUGAGGGCUCCAGCUUGUCUGAAUUAUUCACCCAUGUCUUUUGCGCACUUCUUGUUUCCUGGGCGGGUUCGCCCGCCACCAGGACCAAACCAUAAACCUUUUUGUAAUUGCAAUCAGCGUCAGUAAACAAUGUAAUUAUUACAACUUUCAACAACGGAUCUCUUGGUUCUGGCAUCGAUGAAGAACGCAGCGAAAUGCGAUACGUAGUGUGAAUUGCAGAAUUCAGUGAAUCAUCGAAUCUUUGAACGCACAUUGCGCCCUUUGGUAUUCCAAAGGGCAUGCCUGUUCGAGCGUCAUUUGUACCCUCAAGCUUUGCUUGGUGUUGGGCGUCUUUGUCUCUCACGAGACUCGCCUUAAAAUGAUUGGCAGCCGACCUACUGGUUUCGGAGCGCAGCACAAUUCUUGCACUUUGAAUCAGCCUUGGUUGAGCAUCCAUCAAGACCACAUUUUUUUCAACUUUUGACCUCGGAUCAGGUAGGGAUACCCGCUGAACUUAAGCAUAC